AUUAGAUACCCGGGUAGUCCUAGCCGUAAACGAUACUCGCUAGGUGUCGGCCACGGUGCGACCGUUGUCGGUGCCGUAGGGAAGCCGUGAAGCGAGCCACCUGGGAAGUACGGCCGCAAGGCUGAAACUUAAAGGAAUUGGCGGGGGAGCACCACAACGGGUGGAGCUUGCGGUUUAAUUGGAUUCAACGCCGGAAAUCUUACCGGGACCGACAGCAAUAUGAAGGCCAGGCUGAAGACUUUGCCGGAUUAGCUGAGAGGUGGUGCAUGGC
rnacentral:rRNA from 2 species